rnacentral:rRNA from 1 species
GCGGAGAGAAGUAGCUUGCUACUGAUCUUAGCGGCGGACGGGUGAGUAAUACUUAGGAAUCUGGCUAUUAGUGGGGGACAACAUUUCGAAAGGGAUGCUAAUACCGCAUACGUCCUACGGGAGAAAGCAGGGGAUCAUUAAUGACCUUGCGCUAAUAGAUGAGCCUAAGUCGGAUUAGCUAGUUGGUGGGGUAAAGGCCUACCAGGGCGACUAUCUGUAGCGGGUCUGAGAGGAUGAUCCGCCACACUGGGACUGACACACGGCCCACACUCCUACGGGAGGCAGCAGUGGGGAAUAUUGGACAGUGGGGGGAACCCUGAUCCACCCGUGCCGCGUGUGUGAAGAAGGCCUUAUGGUUGUAAAGCACUUUAAGCGAGGAGGAGGGUACUGGUAUUAAUACUACCAGGUACUGGACGUUACUCGCAAAAUAAGCACCGGCUAACUCUGUGCCAGCACCCGCGGUAAUACAGAGGGUGCGAGCGUUAAUCAUAUUUACUGGGCGUAAAGCGUGCGUACGCGGCUAAUUGACUCAGAUGUGAAAUCCCCGAGCUUAACUUGGGAAUUGCAUUCUAUACUGGUUAUCUAGAGUGUGGGAGAGGAU